CAUGCACCAGUGGGGUCCCUCGGCCUGGCCUGUGGGAUUGGACUGAAACCGGCUCUCCCACAUCCCCCAUGGGGUCCCAGAUUGCGAGAGGGUGCAGGCCAGGCUGAGGGAUCCCACUGGUGCACA
rnacentral:pre_miRNA from 1 species